AGGGAAAUUUGUAAAGUUACUGCUAAUAAUUUUCUGUCCAUUUAAUUGCGACUUUCCCUU
rnacentral:tRNA from 1 species